GCUGUCUUGGGUCAUUCGAAGCGAGCAUGUGAACAUUUAGGAGGCCGGAUUUGCCAAGUCCGGCUGAAGAUGCUCUUGCAAUGCUAGACCAUUGGGCGACGUGGCGAGACUUGUAGACUCGUAGACGAUGCGAACAUAAGGUUCAAAAGGGUAUUCAUUCUUUACAUCGGUUACAACACCAGGGUACAAGUACACAUCCAACAAGCAUGCAUUGCUCCACAAUUACAUACCAUCAUCCGGUUUACUUCCACGGAAAAAAAAGUCAAGUUCCACCAGCGAUCUUCUUCCCCGUGGUAGCACACUCCUCGGAUUAGUUGCUAACUCCCAACGUGUUCCUUACUUGGGGGCGAAGGCCUGAAACGUAACACCAAAAAGGGUCAUACAUCAGUAGCCAAAUCAUACAUACAUAUAUAGUACCAAUGUAAUAUAAUGUGUAUCAUAUGCGUACCCGGAAGAUGGUGGCGUGGCCGGGGUCGGCGAGGUGAGCGAAGAGAUUGUCGAUGGGGCCGGUGCCGGUG
rnacentral:lncRNA from 1 species